rnacentral:lncRNA from 1 species
GCAUGCUGUUAGACUAAUUCUGAGUGUGCACACACUGCUAGUGAUAGCUGGGUCGUCAUGGAGGUGGUGGUGAUAGGGUGGUGGUGAUGGUAGUGGUGGUGGUGAUAGUAGAGGUGGCAGUGAUGGUAGAAAUGGUGGUGGAGGUGGUGGUGGAGAUAGACUGGUGGUGAUGGUGGUGGUGGUGGUGAUAGGGUGGUGAUGGUGAUGGUGGUGGUGAUGGUAGAAAUGGUGGUGGAGGUGGUGGUGGAGAUAGACUGGUGGUGAUGGUGGUGGAGGUGGUGGUGGUGAUAGGGUGGUGAUGAUGGAGGUGGUAAUGGUGGUGGUGAUGGUGGUGGUGAUGGUGGGGGCAGGAGGGCUGGGAGUAAUCAAGCUGCUGGCACUGAUCAAUGUCUAGCCAACGCCAAGGACCAUUCUAAGUGCAUUAACUCGGUUCGUCCUGUCCACAGCCCUUCUGUCACCUACCCUAACAUGAGGACAGGGAGGCAGAGAUGAGGGAUGUGACUGACUUAAGGCUGGAGGCUAGUUAAAGGAAAGUCCAUUUCAGGUGGUCUGGUUCCCGACCGUGCCAUUUCACUGCCUUCAGUGAGAUCCAUACUACCAUUUUUUACAAUAAAAAUAAAGAAAUCUUAUUUUUCUCAUCUAUUAGACAAAAAAAAAAAAACUACAAUAAAAUCCAGUAGGAAAUAUUCAAAGAGGUAGUUUUUAUAAAUUUCCACCUAACCCAUGAGAGGAGGCCUGGGGUCUCCUGUCCCUUCCUGCCC